GACGAACCGUGCGAACGUUGUUCGGAAUCACUGGGCUUAAAGGGCGCGUAGGCGGCUUGCCAAGUCAGGGGUGAAAUCUUUCGGCUCAACCGGAAAAGUGCUUCUGAUACUGGCGGGCUGGAGGAGGGUAGGGGCAGAUGGAACUUCCGGUGGAGCGGUGAAAUGCGUAGAUAUCGGAAGGAACGCCGGUGGCGAAAGCGAUCUGCUGGACCCUCUCUGACGCUGAGGCGCGAAAGCCAGGGGAGCAAACGGG
rnacentral:rRNA from 1 species